rnacentral:tRNA from 4 species
GGGCCGUUAGCUCAUUUGGUAGAGCGUCUGGCUGGCAGUCAGAAGGUGACCGGUUCAAGCCCGGUACGGUCCA